CCCCGCACAAGCAGCGGAGCGUGUGGUUUAAUUCGUUGCUACACGAAGAACCUUACCUGGGUUUGACAUAAUGGUGGUAGGGAUCCGAAAGGUGACCGACCCUUCGGGGAGCCAUUACAGGUGUUGCAUGGCUGUCGUCAGCUCGUGUCGUGAGAUGUUCGGUUAAGUCCGCUAACGAGCGCAACCCUCGCUGUGUGUUAUAUGUGUCACACAGGACUGCUGGUAUUAAGCCAGAGGAAGGUGGGGAUGACGUCAAAUCAGCACGGCCCUUAUGUCCAGGGCUACACACGUGUUACAAUGGCCAGUACAAAGGGCAGCUACCGGGUGACCGGAUGCUAAUCUCGAAAACCGGUCUCAGUUCGGAUCGAAGUCUGCAACUCGACUUCGUGAAGCUGGAUUCGCUAGUAAUCGCGCAUCAGCUAUGGCGCGGUGAAUACGUUCCCGGGCCUU
rnacentral:rRNA from 1 species